GCGCAGGGACUUCCCCCAAAGAUGGUGGGGACGGAGCCGGCGAGGCUGCUCCGCCCGGCCCGGGAGGAGGAGGAGGAGGAGAAAAAGAAGAGGGGGGGGAAUUUGUUAUCGAUCAAACUUGGCGUGAGGCGGGCUGGCAGCGCUGGCGUCUGGCGGCCGCGGCGGCAGCGCUCGGGGCUGCGGCCGGAGGGAGCUCAGCGCCUCACGUGGGUCCCUUUAAAGCUGCAUCGCCUCGGCGGAUGUGGAAACUUAAAAGUCAAGGAAAGGAACUGGCCCAGCUCAUCUGGGCAGGGAGUUUAAGACUCAGAAGUAAGAACAAGAGCAACAGCCCAGCUUUACUGUAGAGAACUCUUCUCUCUCUCUUUUGGUAAGCAUAUCAGAUCCGAAAGCUACGCACAGGUAUGUGAAGUUUACACAUUUUAUAUGUGAAAAGCACAUUCCUAUAGGCAAAUAAUUUCUCUGGUUGCAAGUACGUAUCUUUGCCCAUUCAAUCUACCUCCAGCCCAUUUCUAACACAUUCUCUGAAAAAUCCUACUGUCUCCUUUUAUUGUGUGCUUUCCUAGUGGACCUGCUUUCUUCCCGUUCACUUGCUCUCCCCAUUCCUACGGCUGUGUAUUCCAGUCUGACUGCCACCUGCCACGCUGACAGCUGAUGAACUACUGAAAAAAAUGGUGAAAGAAAUUGUGUUUUACAUCAUAGAUGUUAGGUCAAGAGAAGAGAAAAAAUAACCAUGAAUGAAGGUGGUAUGUUUCAGAAUCUUAUUUUUAUACAUACUCGGUAGAGUGGGUACCUCAUCUUGGAUGAAAUGGUGCUUCAGAGCCUCAUCUCAGAAUGGAGAGUCUUGUUAUAAUCAAAAUUAUGUCUGUGCUAAGAGAGAAAAAAAAAUUGUUACGCACAUUUUUCCUCCUGAAGCUCCUAAUAUACGUUGCUAUUAUUAUUAUUAGCAUUUUCAAUAUACACUUUGCUUUUUGUUUAGACAAUGAGUCUCAUGGUGCUGUUCGCAGAUACAAAUGGUACAGCAGUCAUCCCACGUAGAUUUUGGAGAAACCCAAAGAGACUCUAUCCCAGUUUAUCCUUCUUACAGUCAACCUAGUGCAUCCUAGGAAAAAAACAGCAGAAUAGUUGGCUUUAUGUGGACAUUAAUGCCGUGCAAAUAGUUUAUAUACUGUGCUAGAGAUGCUCAGUGACUCGACUUAAUGAGUUCUGUAGUAACUGAGGUCAUACCAGAUGCUUUCCCAAACCUUUCCUAACUAAAUACAACCAAGCUUUUUCAGGAUAACCAGAGCUUCAUGUUUAGAAGAUUUAUAGCGUUGUGGGACACCAGGGGAUUCUGAGUGUUAUCUACCUGAGCAGGAGGAGAGACCUACCAAACCUACCAUCCAAUUCCAACAGCAUCUCAAGGUCUAACAAGACAAUAAAUUGAAGAAAAACACCAAGGAUGCUAGCAAACUGUCAAUAUAGAGAAUUUACAGAACAGUCCAGAAUCUAGGAAGGCAGCAGAGAAAAAUUAUAGGAAGAGAGAGAUAUCAUACUCCAACAUUGCACUCUAAUGCACAGGCUGGAGGUUUUGAUCCCUCUAUACUAAAAGAUCUAAUACAGAGUCUUUAAAUCAUAUUUUUCUUGUUGUGAAGGGUAUGCAUUGUCCGUCUUCACAGAGACGAAUUUCACCUAACAUGAUUUAUUUUAUUGAUUUUAGUGGCAUUAACUGAGACUACAAAGAUGAAUACAGUUCUACACUUACAUAGAUGUGAAUAACACAACGUGGUUCUGAUAAUUUGCAGUGUUCGGGAAACAAGAAAAUCCUACAGAAACCCAUUGGCUUACUUGAAAAGAUCUGAUGUUCGUACAGCCAAUGCUAACAGAAAUGUUCUCAUACUUCAUAAAGCUUCCAUUCCUAAUUAAAAGUUGUUUGGCUUUGCAGGUCAUGCCUUGUAGCAAUUGUGCUGGAUCUUGAUAAUUACAGCAUGAAACCGACUGACUAUUUGGUUCCUCUUUCAGCCCAAGAGAAGGCAUAAGAAGUGAAAAAAAACAGUUGCAGAAGAGUUUUGUAAUAGCAGUUCUCACCUUACAUCAGUUUGAAGAGUCAUAAGCAUUUGUCAGCAGAUCUGCAGUGGUCCUUAUACAGCAAACUGAAGUGGACUGACAGUACAUUUACUCUUCUUAAUUACCUUUUGCAGACUCUUCAGAAGCAGCCCAUGAGUCCCAAGGAGUCCACAGACCUGGUUUGCAGGAAAAGAGAUAUUUAUUAUCAUCCUUUAAAUGUUGUUUUAAUAUCAACUUAUCUUGAAACUGCUCUUGAACGUGUAAACUGCUAGAAUCCUGUUUUGAGUUCUGUUGUGUCCUCACAAGCAUUCAAUAAUAACUAAGUACUCAAGCACUAACAUGAAGGUAAGAUCACUGCUAUCACUGAAUGUCUAUUUUUGGGAACUUGAUCUAACCCAAGGUGUUGCUGGAGCAUCCUGCUUUUGAUGACGAAGCUGUGUGUUGUACAUACAACCGUUACUUUCACUAAGUUUGAAAGCAGACUUCACAGUGUGACCGACUCAGACAAAACCAAGGGAGAGGCGCCCAUCGUCAGAGUUCGCAGUCGCACAGUUCUUAGCCUUGCUCUUCAAAAUAUGUUAGACCAAACAAAUCCUCAUCCAGUUAAAGCAUCUUAGAUCAAUGAAAUGGAUUCUACAGUGGAGCACGAUAAAGGGAAUCUUAACUUUUCAGCAAUGUGAAUGCAGUUAUCAUGUUAUACAUGGAGCAAAGAGUCUGAUCAAGGCCUGCACCCCACUGAAUGAUCUAUAGAUUUGAUACCACUCUUUUCACCCUUCCACGUGUAUUGUUUAGGACUAGGUAGCAGACCUCGCAAUCCUUCGGGGCAUCUCUCAAGACUAAAGUUUAGGCAGAAAUUUCCUUUCGUUGAUAAAUUAUUCUGUAAUUCUGAAUUUAAAAAUAGUUUUUACUGUUCAGCUUAGCUGCAUAUGUACCCCCUGAAGAAUCAUGUUUCAAGAGUGCAAAAUUAGCUAAAAAAAGCAGCUCUGUGAUUUUUCCUGCUUUGAAUUAUGUAAAGAAAUCGUGAAAGAUUUUUUUACUCUUAAAUUAUUUUAUCUUUUAUAUUGCUUUCGAAAUGAAAUGUGAUUGUUCCCCUUUCUACCAGAGGCCACUCUUGCACUACAGAGAACUCUUUCAAACAUAAAACUGUAACUGGAUGCUCGAUGUCAGAUGAUAAUUUGUGUAUCUGAACAAAUGCAAAACAAUAAAUGUAAAUCAAGUCAAAUCCUUCUUUUCCAUGAGUCAGAAGCUAUUUCCUUGGUACUUGUGAUGCAGUAGCUUAGAGUUUAAUCUAAAACUCAUUACAUUCAUUAAGCAUCAUUCUGUUGACUUCAAUGGUCUUUGAAUAAAGCUAACAGCCUGUUUUGUUCCUACAUACCCAUAGUGUUGAGGUGCAAGGGAGGCUUGGGAACAACAGGAAAGACAAGACUACAAUUUUUUAUUUGAAAUAUUUCAUAACGUAUUUAUUCUUCACACAUGGAAAAAU